AUCGAACGCUGGCGGCAGGCCUAACACAUGCAAGUCGAGCGAGCGGCGGACGGGUGAGUAAGGUAUGGGGACCUGCCCGUAAGAGGGGGAUAACUGCGGGAAACGGUAUCUAAUACGGCCUACAAUCCGAUUAAGGCAGAUGGGAUUAGCUAGUCGGUGGGGUAAUGGCUUACCUAGGCGACGAUCCAUAGCUGGUCUGAGAGGAGGAUCAGCCACACUGGGACUGAGACACGGCCCAGACUCCUACGGGAGGCAGCAGUGGGGAAUCUUGCGCAAUGGACGCAAGCCUGAUGCAGCCAUGCCGCGUGUGUGAAGAAGGCCUUCGGGUCGUAAAGUACUUUCAGUCGGGAGGCGUUACCGAAAGAAGAAGCCCCGGCUAACUACGUGCCAGCAGCCGCGGUAAUUC
rnacentral:rRNA from 1 species